UUAGCCUACGGGAGGCAGCAGUAGGGAAUCUUCCACAAUGGGCGAAAGCCUGAUGGAGCAACGCCGCGUGGGUGAAGAAGGUCUUCGGAUCGUAAAACCCUGUUGUUAGAGAAGAAAGUGCGUGAGAGUAACUGUUCACGUUUCGACGGUAUCUAACCAGAAAGCCACGGCUAACUACGUGCCAGCAGCCGCGGUAAUACGUAGGUGGCAAGCGUUAUCCGGAUUUAUUGGGCGUAAAGAGAACGCAGGCGGACUUUUAAGUCUAAAGUGAAAGCCUUCGCCUUAACCGGAGUAGUGCAUUGGAA
rnacentral:rRNA from 1 species